rnacentral:tRNA from 1 species
GCGGGAAUAGCUCAGUGGUAGAGCACAACCUUGCCAAGGUUGGGGUCGCGGGUUCGAUCCCCGUUUCCCGCU